UACGUAGGGUGCAAGCGUUGUCCGGAAUUAUUGGGCGUAAAGAGCUCGUAGGUGGUUUGUCGCGUUGUUCGUGAAAACUCACAACUCAAUUGUGGGCGUGCGGGCGAUACGGGCAGACUGGAGUACUGCAGGGGGAGACUGGAAUUCCUGGUGUAGCGGUGGAAUGCGCAGAUAUCAGGAGGAACACCGGUGGCGAAGGCGGGUCUCUGGGCAGUAACUGACGCUGAGGAGCGAAAGCGUGGGGAGCGAACAGG
rnacentral:rRNA from 1 species